CGCGCUCUCAUCUCUUCCUCUCCGGGAAAAGCUCCCCGCGGCCUCUCAAGUCCUCAAAUGGACCACAAGGCUCUGGUGCCCGAGGGGAGGAGGAAGGCGACGGUGUCCCCGAGAGCCGGUCGCCGACGCGCGCUCUCACCAGCUCGGCUCGCAGCCCGGGCAGGGCGCUCUAGACGCUCGGGUCUCUGCUCCUCCUGCGCCUCCGCUUCCGCCUCCGCCGGGGGGCGCCGGGAGCCUCCUCGCGGCACAGCCAGCUGGAAGACGCCCGCCAGCCGCCGCCUGAGGUCUUCCGGCAGCCGGCAUGGGGGCGACGGGGGCCUCCUCCUGGCCGUCCGUGCGCUUACUGCCCCCGGGGGAGCCGCGCGUCGGGCAAGGGCCUCGGGGCCAAAGCACAACACUGACUGGGACUCCGUGGGGUCCCCGGGAAGUCGCUUCUCUGCGGCUGCCGGAGUCCCCGGGGCCCAUUCCAGAGGCGGCGGGGCCCAUUCCAGCGGCAGUCGGAGGAGGUGGUUCCCCGUAACUCCGCGAAGAGGUUGCAACUGGAUCACUUCUUGCUCCUUGGAGUGUCUAAGAGGAAGACUUGUAUCUCUCCAGAUCAUUUACUUCAACAAGAACUUCAGACAUUUUUAUUCCUCCACGCCUUUGCACAUGUGCUGUUCCUGUGUGUGGAAUGCCCUUCUCACCUUACCCAGCUAUUAUGAUGAGUCUUCAAAUUCCCUGAGCAGGAAUACAACCUCCCUCUUGUGA
rnacentral:lncRNA from 1 species